rnacentral:SRP_RNA from 1 species
GCUGGGUAUGGUGGCACAUACCUGUAAUCCCAGCUACUUAAGAGGCUGAGGUGGGAGGAUCGCUUGAGUCCAGGAGUUCAAGGCUGCAGUGAGCCAAGAUCACGCCACUGCACUCCAGCCUGGGCAACAGAGCAAGCCCCCAUCUCAA